CGGAAACAGAAGCUUCUCUACUACGGUCCAUGUGUUUCCCCUGCUGCUGGUCACUUAGCAAUUGACUAUGUGGAUGGACACAGAUCCAAAGGUAAGCUGGCCCAGGGGACAUUUUCCCAGUGGGACAGUCUGGCCCUGGUAAUUAAAGUUCAAUUUACAGAGAAGGAGAUAAAAAUGUCAGACAUAAGUUAGCAUCUGAUUGAAAGUGAAACCAUUAUUGUUUCAUACAGGGUGUGUGAGUCACAGCCAGGGAUGGUAUUGCUAGGGCUGUAUGAAAGAGAACAAGAAUAAUUUAAAUGGCAGAGAAUUGAGCAGUAAGACUGCAAGGGCAUGAUCUGCAUAACCAAACUGCGUCAUCAAGAUAAAGUUGAUUUGAUGCCUAUUGAGUAGCCCUUUAAGUACAGCCCUAUUUUCCAGGAAAAAAUGUUCAGCAAUUUAAUUUGUAUACACGUAUCUAUUUACAUAAAUAAAAUGGUAUAAAAGAACACUAUAGACACAAGAUCACUUCAUCUCAAUAAAGUGGUCUGGCUGCAGUGACGAGUUCCUUUUAAGAAAUUGCAAUGUGAGAAACUGCAAUGUUUAUGUUACAGGAUUAAGUCCGCCCCUAUAAAAUUUCAUUAUGAAAAUAUUUUUACCUAGUUUAAAAAUGAGGGACUUGAGAAUAGGAUGCAUUAAUUAACAUUUCAGUUUAGUUUAGAUUUUAUAAGCCUUAAAUGGUCUCAUGUAUGUACUUUCAAGAGACAUAAUUCACAAACUUGUUAAAGAGACACAAAAAAAGGAAAUAUUAUUAUUUAUACUAAAGUGUUGUUAAAAUUGUAUUCCAAUGACCUCCCACAUUAGCCAUCUAAACCUCAAUUUUUCCUUCACCUGCUCAAAAAAAACUUUGUACUAUAAUAACUACUGUAGUGAACAUGUAGUUUUUAUGGUGCACAGUGUGCCUCUUUAUUUAGUCUUAUUUCCUACACUUUUGUUAUUUAAAUUUUAAUGUAAAGACUAUUAGCAGCCCUUUUAAUAAAUGGGCAAUAAAAAGUGGAAAUGAGAAAGAAACAUUAUUUUGUAAGUAUUAAUUAGUAUUCUAAGGUAGGGUGACCUAUUGUGAUUGCCCUUUUAGAGCAGUGUGUUUUAGACAGUGGGUUUGCAGGUGGACUACAGAUACCUGACAAUGAAGUGUUUAGUCACGUACAAACGUCUAGUGAAAAUAAUCACUUUUAUUACAAGUUGGGCUAAUUAAAUGAAGCACAGAAAAAUUAGAAAGAAGCAAUUAACUCGUCCAGUUUGAUUAUUCCCUAUUGAUAAAAAAAAGUGUAGGAUUAAUUUAAAUGUAGAUAUUAUGUUCUAUUUAGAGCAUGCACAUCAUUUCAGCACAUUUUCAAUUUCUGCUUAUGUGCAAAACCUCAAAUAGGAUACCCUUCUGCACAUCAACUACCACCAAGAAAAAACCUUGAGAUAGCAUUAGUAAAUUUUUUGCCGUUAUAUAUCUUUUAUAUUACAUGAUAUUUUAGGUUGGGGUUAGUGUUAUUGUAAUUAGUUUACGGGUUGUGUUAGUGUACUCUAAGGGUUAAUUUUAAGUAUUAGUGUAGUAGUUAAAGAGACACUAUAGUCACCAGAACAACAUGCAGCCUAAUUACAUAGUUACAUAGUUACAUAGCUGAAAAGAGACAUUGCGUCCAUCAAGUUCAGCCAUCCUCACAUUUGUUUUUUGCUGUUGAUCCAAAAGAAGGCAAAAAAAAAAACAGUUUGAAGCACUUCCAAUUUUGCAACAAGCUAGGAAAAAAAUUCCUUCUUGACCCCAGAAUGGCAGUCAGAUUUAUCAUUGGAUCAAGCAGUUAUUACCCUACAUUGAAAGAUUAUAUCUUUGAAUAUUCUAUUUUUGCAAGUAUGCAUCUAGUAGCUGUUUGAACAUCUGUAUGGACUCUGAUAAAACCACUUCUUCAGGCAGGCAAUUCCACAUCCUUAUUGUUCUUACAGUAAAAAAAACCUUUCCUUUGCCUUAGACGAAAUCUUCUUUCUUCCAGUCUAAAUGCAUGACCUCGUGUCCAAUGUAAAGUCAGGUUUGUGAAUAGAUUUCCACACAAUGGUUUUUAUUGGCCCUGAAUAUUUUUGUAUAAUGUUAUCAUAUCCCCUCUCAUGCAACGUUUUUCUAAACUAAAUAGGUUUAAAUUUGUUAACCUUUCUUUAUAGCUGAUAUGUUUCAUUCCUCUUAUUAAUUUUGUAGCCCGCCUCUGCACUUUUUCUAGUGCCAUAAUAUCCUUCUUUAGAAAAGGUGCCCAAAAUUGCACAGCAUAUUCAAUAUGUGGUCUUACCAGUGAUUUAUAAAGAGGCACAAUUAUAUUCUCGUCUCCAGAAUGAAUGUCCUUUUUCAUGCAUGACAAUACCUUACUGGCCUUGGCCACUGCUGAUUGACAUUGCACAUUGUUGCAUAGUUUGUUGUCUAUAACAAUUCCCAAGUCUUUUUCAUGUGUUGUUAUCCCUAAUUCGCUUCCAUUAAGGGUAUACGUUUCUUGUGUAUUCUUUACGCCAAAGUGCAUUACUUUGCAUUUUUCAACAUUAAAUUUCAUCUGCCAUUUGAGUGCCCAGUCCCCCAGUCUAUCUAAAUCCCUCUGCAGCAAAGUAAUAUCUUGCUCACCUUGUAUUAUUUUACAGAGUUUUGUGUCAUCUGCAAACACUGAAACAUGACUUUCAAUGCUUUCUUCAAGAUCAUUUAUAAAUAUGUUAAAUAGAAGGGGUCCCAGAACAGACCCCUGAGUUUGACAUGACCUGUGCUUCAUAAAACCGUGCUGAUUUUUGCUGAUAACCAUGUUCUUCUCAAGGAAUUCUUUAACAUUAUCCCUUGAUAACCUUUCAAAUAUGUUCCCAGCCACAGAAGUUAAAGGACCACUCUAGGCACCCAGACCACUUCAGCGUAAUGAAGUGGUCUGGGUGCCAGGUCCUUCUAGGGUUAACCCAUUUUUUCAUAAACAUAGCAGUUUCAGAGAAACUGCUAUGUUUAUGAAUGGGUUAAGCCUUCCCCUAUUUCCUCUAGUGGCUGUCUCAUUGACAGCCACUAGAGGCGCUUGCGUGCUUCUCACUGUGAUUUUCACAGUGAGAGCACGCCAGCGUCCAUAGGAAAGCAUUGAGAAUGCUUUCCUAUGUGACCGGCUGAAUGCGCGCGCAGCUCUUGCCGCGCGUGCGCAUUCAGCCGACGGAGUCGGAGGAGGAGGGAGGCAGAGCUCUCCGCCCAGCGCUGGAAAAAGGUAAGUUAUUACCCCUUUCCCCCUUCCAGAGCCGGGCGGGAGGGGGUCCCUGAGGGUGGGGGCACCCUCAGGGCACUAUAGUGCCAGGAAAACGAGUAUGUUUUCCUGGCAUUAUAGUGGUCCUUUAAGCUCACAAGUCUAUAAUUUCCAGGCAAGGAUUUUGAACCCUUUUUGAAUAUAGGAACCACAUCUGCCUUCCUCCAAUCCUCCGGAACACUUCCUGAAAGAAAAGAAUAUUGAAAGAUUAAAAACAGAGGUUCACUUAUUUCUACACUUAGUUCCUUAAGUACUUUUGGAUGGAUAUCGUCAAACCCUGGAUCUUUGUUUAUAUUAAACUUUCUUUAGUUGCUGCAGCACCUUGUCUUGAGUUAAUGCAACUAUUCUGCAAGUUUUUACUAGCAAUCAUUUGCACAUCUAUUGCCAUGGGUUCUUCCUUAAUAUAUACAGAGGAGAAACAGUUAUUUAGAAUUCCUGCCUUUUCCUGGUCUUCAUUAACUAACACCCCGUUUCAGUUUUUAGUGUACCUACACUUUAAUUUUUUUAAUUUUUUUUUUAGAAUUUAUGUACUUAAAACAUGCUUUGGGGUUGGUUUAGCAAAUCUAAUCGCCUUUUUGCACGCAUUAUUGGCUUAAUGUAGUUGUUAUGGUGUCUAUAGACUGUCCCUUUUACUGCCUAGUAACAUCUCUAGUGGCAGUCACUCAGACAGCCACUAGAGGUGCUUCCUGAUUCAUUGCUGCACAGUGUGCAGCACUGGCGUUGAGAUGUGGAACGCUUCCCAUACAGAUGCAUUGAUUCAAUGCAUCUCUAUGAGGAUAUGCUGAUUUUGCCAUGCAUGCACAAUAGCCUCCCAAUGCUUUCCGAUGGGAAAGCCUUAGAUUGGCUGAGAUUGAGAUCAAAAUUGAUUAUCUUAGUCACAGAGGCAGAGUAAGGUGGAAAAAAAAGCCGCAACGAGACCGGCAUGGUGACAGAAAAAAAGAAUUUAAACACUUUUUAAAGUAAAGAGAGUGGUACCACGAGCCUAAACUGCUAUUUUACCACUAUUGUGUCAGGAAUGUGUUUUCAUGACAUGAUUGUGUUUCUUUAAUGUUUAUAGCAGUGCAUGGGUUAAUGGUUAGUGAUAGUGUUAGUGUAGUGUUAAUGUUUAUUGUUAGUGGUGUUAAUGCCUACUGUAUUGUAGUAUAUUGUUAGUGUAGGGGUUAAGUGGCUGCCUGAGAUUAGUGACAGUUACAUACCAGGGCAGACGCUAUUUCUAGCUGCUUUCAUUUUAAUGCCAGCAGGUGCCACUUGGGAGUGCAACUUGCACUAAUCACAUACGCAUGUCCCAGUUCUGACUGCAAUUAGAGCUCUCCCACUGCACAGAAGUCUUCUUAAAAAUGUUCACCACCUCUCAUUACUUGAGAAAAAUUCUCAUUAGAGACCCUUUUUGGUUGUAAUUACAGCAAGAGCAAUAGUGACUGCUGCAUUUUAUUUGCGGCAUUGCCCUGCCUGAUUGAUUGGACUCUACCAAUUUAAUACCAUGAGAUGCCAUGUCCUGUUUAAAAUAGCUAUAUUUCCGUCAUCAAUAUAGGGGAUAAUAGAAAUUGUAAUGACUGCUUAGUGCUAUAUUAUUAUUUUUUUUUUGUGUCAACAUAAACCUGGUUGCUGCCUCACUUGCCGCCCUGGGCCACCCUCCACUGGAAGAUGUGUAUAUUGAAUGUAUAAACACCAAUACUAUUUUAUCUUAAUGUAAUAGUUUUGGUGCAUAGACUACACUUGUCACCAAAUUCUGUUAAUGCUCUUCUAUAACAAGCAUCAAAUCGUCAGCCUUCAAGAAAAAGAAGUUAACUAAAUACAUAUAUGCCGACAGACAAUCCCAAAGCAGACAUCGGAAAAAAAAAAUCACACUUCUAGAUUCCCUCAGAAAUGUAAUAAAUUGUAAUAAAAAUAUAUUCCUGUAACUCAAUGUGCCUUUAAUAGAGCCACAACAAAGGUGAACUGACAAUAUUUCAUCUGGGCUUAGGCUAGGUCACCUGUGUAAAAGUUGUAAUGACAGCACAUCGAAUCGUAAAAAGAUAUCAGCAAUUAUUUUGAUGUACUAUUUACCAAAGAUAGAUUUAUUUUAUGAACUUUAUAAGUUUAGAACGGAGUGUGCUGUUUUAGAAUUUUUGUUUUGUGCUGACUUCCUGUUCUAUAUUUUUAUCGAAUAAUUUAUUCAAUUUCCCUGGUUUACUAGAUAUUCUUGUUAGAUAGAUAGACAGGCAAAUGGAUAGAUAUGUUAUUGGAGCUAAUUUUCCUGUUCAGAUAACAAUUUGAGCAGGGACUACGAUAUAGAUUGGCAUAAUGGGGUCAAAUGAGAUUGUACCAAUACAUUUGAAAGGUGUGAUAUUUCAAAGAAAGUAUUUAGAUUUGCACAUGGGUAGAAAGUCAUUUAAAGGUCAAAGAGAAUAAAAGAAUAGCAGGUCCUCUGAUUUCGAGUAAUUAUAAUGCUAUUUAAUUAAUGUGGCUAUGCACAGAUUGCACCAAAUUGUCCUAGUGUUAAUUGUUUGUAGAAGAGCAAUGUGACUAAAUUAAUUGGAGGACUUUGUAGAAACUAGAAAAUUUUAUUUUAUCAAUGCAAAAUAAUUAAUUUGGCUUAUAAAAAUAAGGGACAUUAAUUAAAAGUGGAUUUCUGACCUGUUUGUGGGUACACUUUUACCAAAUGCAUAUAUUAGAUGUUAACUACAAAAGCAAGCCACAUGUUUUAGUAAAUAUUUUCUAAACAGCAGUGGAACUACCGUCAGUGUGACUGCACUGGGACCAACUACAUGACCCAUUUAGUAAGGGCUACUGGAUGGCAAUGUGUCCUCAGGGGCCUGGUUUAGCGCUGUGGCCCUUUAACAGCAAGACCAGGUCCCUUUUAAUGUCACCACUGAGAGGAAGUGACUGAUGGUCCGUUUCUCCCAGAUAGCACAGAGCCACGCAAGAGAGGAAGAGAGGAGGGACUGGGAAAGACUCUGUCUCCCAGCAGCUUCAUGCAGCCAACUUGAACCCAAGGAAGCCAUAAUGCUGGAUCCUAAAGUUAGGAAAUCGGACAGUGGCUACAAAUUUACAUUUUGCACAUGUAUCUAUCUAUCUCUGUGUCUGUAUGUGUAUCUGUGUGUCAGUGUUUGUGUCUGUGUAUCAUUCUGUGUUUCUGUGCAUCUGCAUGUGUGUUAGUGUGUAUCGUAUUUGUAUGUGUGUCAAUGUGUGUAUAUGUGCGUCUGUGUAUCUGUAUAUACUCAUCUGUAUGUGUGUUAAUGUGUGCAUCUAUGUCUUAGCAUGGGCGUCACUACACACAAAUUCACCACUACAUUGACACACACAUACUCCAUACAGACACAUGCUUACAUUUAAACACACAAGCAACUGUUCUGUGCUAAAUGCAACCAUGCAAGAAUUGGCAAAUAGUAGAUCCCCAGCUGGCAAGGCAUUGUUAGAGUUGUACAACAUAUUAUUUUUGGCCCAAGAAAGAGAUUUUACAACUCGAGCUAAGUGAGAUGGGCUGAAAUGAAAUGUUAUAAAUGUUACAAAAGAAUAUUGUCCACUUAUUACAGACAAUAUAUUCCUAUGUAGUGAUUAUUAUUGGGAAAUAUAUUAAGUUAGUAAUAAAGUCUGCACAGGGGAAGAAUUUGGUUCAGCCCAGGGCCGGCCUUAUGUGUUUAGGCACCCUGUGCGAGCCAAUCUUGAGGCGCCCUGACCCCUCCCCCCCUCGCCUUCCCCCGGUCACCUAGACAUACACAAAGAGGGAAAAAAACCUUUGUAAGAAAUAAUUUGUUUUAAUUACAGAUAAUUUAAGUGCAAGUGCAAACAAUUACAAUAAUAAAUAACUGGUAACAAUAAUGUACAUUAAGGGGACACUACAGUCAUCAAAACAACGUUAUCUUAAUGAAGCAGUUUAGGUGUAUAGAGCAUGUCCCUGCAGUGUCACUGCUCAAUUCUCUGCCAUUUAAGUGUUAAAUCAUGUAUAGCCUCUCCCUCAUUUCUUCACCCCACGUAUCUGUUUCGCCCCCUCUAGACAAUUUCAGGCACACAAGCUGCCGCCUCCACCCCCUUCUACAAAAUCCUGCCCCCCUUUCACCAAAACCCCAGGCCUCCCCUUCACCAAACACCUGCUUCACCAAAACCCCUGCCCCCAUUCACUUAACCCCUGCCCCCUUCAACAAAACCCCUGGCUGCACCUUCAUCAAUGCCCUGCCCCCCUUCAUCAAUCCUCUGCACCCCUCCGUCAGACCUUGACACGCUUAAUCAAUCCCCUGCUUCCUUCAUCAAUCCCCUGAACCCCCUUACCAGUCCCCUGCCCCCAUUCACCAAUUAUCUUCCCACUUCGCCAAUCCCCUGCCCCCCUUCAUCAAUGCUCUGCCCUCCUUCACCAGUCCCCCGCCCCACUUCACCAGUCCCCUGCCCUCCUUCCCCAGUCAACUGCCCCCCUUCCCCAGUCCCACUUCCCCAGUCCACUACCCCACUUCCCCAGUCCCCUGCCCCCUUCACCAAUCCCCUGCCCCUUUACCAGUCCCUUGCCCCCCUUUAUCAGCCCCCUGCCAUCCUUCACCAGCCCCUGCCCUCCUUUACUAGUCCCCUGCCCCCUUUAUCCAUCCCCUGCCCCCUUCAUCAGACCCUGCCACCCUUCAUCAUUCCCCUGCCCCCUUACCAGUCCCUGCCCCUUCAUCAUUCCCUGCCCUCCUUCACCAGUCCCCUGCCCUCCUUCAUCAGUCCCUUGCCCCCAUCAACAGACCCUGCCCCCUUCACCAAUCCCCUGCCCCCUUUCCAUCAAUUCCUGCCCCCCUUUAUAAGACCCUGCCACCUUAAUCAAUCUCCUUCGCCCUUCCCCAACAACCCUGCACCCCUUCAAUAAAAGUCAAUAUAUUUAGUUUAAAAAGCAAUAAGAACUAGGACUCACUUUAAUGGCUGCUGCUCUCUGGAUCGAGCUUUCCACUCCGCCGGGUCGCCGAUUUAAGAGCACUGGCCGCCGACCUCACACGCACCAAUCGGAGCCUGCCGCGGCUCCCUGUGAAGGCGUAGCACGUGAACAUUGCGCCCCCUCGCUCUUCCUCCAUGCUCCAGACCUCUUCAGUCUGCAACGGAUCUUGGCAACUGAUCACCUCUCCCCUCAUAAUUUGCAAGUCAAGUGCAUAGCAGCACUAUGCACUUGACUUGCUCUGGCAUUUGUAAACCCAGCACUUAACUUGGGCUGGCCUCUUUGUGAUCCACUGUGAGCUAUGUUGGCCGCCCCCAGCGCCCCUGUUGCCAUGGCGCCCUGUGCUGCCGCACAGAUCGCACACCACAAAGGCCGGCCCUGGUUCAGCCAAACCCUUUUUCCAAAAUCAAAUUUUGGUUAUGACCUCUAACACGUUUUCAUUUGAUAAUUCAGCUAGCCUGAAUAUCGCCCAUGAAAAAUAUUCUGGAAAACAAACAAAAAAGGAUGCAAAUAUGAGCAUAUCAGUAUACUGGAAUAUAUGCACAUAAUAUAAAUAUUAUGUACAUAGAAAUAUUAGAUUUGUCAGUCAUUUGGUUCACAAUUCAAGUGAGAAAAAGUAACCAAUAAAGAAAAGAGGAGGAACAAGAAAUAAAAAUAAUUAUUUCUAUAUUAAAUAUAUUUAUUAAAUAUUAGAUUUAUAUGUCAUCACUGCUUUUCCUUUAUUUCCUGUAUUGGUCACUUUUCACUUCAUCUGUGAAUAAAAUCAACAUUUAAUAGCUUUCCCCUAACCAUCAUUAAUUAUUUUCCCAUCUAGCAUCUCUUGGUGUCAUAAGCAGAAUUCUGAAAACUGAAGCAAAUCAAGAUGCUCAACCACUGCACAAGUCAUCCGUAUGGCACUUCAGACUUACGGAAUUCAACCAAAACGCUGACUGGCCUAAAUUCGCAUUGCAUUCAGCCAAAACCGAACGCGCAAGUCUAAUAAUGUCUAAUGAUAUGCCUGUGA